rnacentral:pre_miRNA from 1 species
AAAAAGAUAAACAUUAGAUUUUCGUGACAAUGUUUGACUGUCCGUUUUAUAUGAAAUUUUUUUAUAAUUAGUAUUUUUAUUGUUGUUAGAUGAUAAAACAUGAUUAAUACUUUAUGUGUGACUUAUUUUUUUAAUUUUUUUUUAUAAUUUUUUUAAAUAAGACGGACGGUUGGAGUACAACAAAUUAUAAAUGAGCUUUGG